CCUCCUAUAUAUAGUGGUGAUUUAGGGCUGAUUUAAGACAACUUUUGUCACGUGCAACUCAGAUCUAGACAUCAUAGUUUUACCUCUAGAUCGUAUUUCUGCGAAGCCCUGCAGGAGUAGAUCGUCACCACCACCGGAGCGCCGUCACGCUGUCGGAGAACUCAUCUACUUCUCCGUCUUUCUUGCUGGAUCAAGAAGGCCGAUAUCAUCGUCGAGCUGUACGUGUGCUGAACGCGGAGGUGCCGUCCGUUUGGCGCUAGAUCGGAACGGGUCGUGGGACGGAUCGCGGGACGGUUUAUGGGACGGUUCAUGGGGCUGAUCGAGGGACGUGAAGACGUUCCACUACAUCAACCGCGUUUCUUAACGCUUCCUGUUGUGCGAUCUACAAGGGUACGUAGAUCUAAAUCUCCUCUCGUAGAUGGACAUCACCAUGAUAUGUUUUCAUGUGCGUGGGAAAAUUUUGGUUUUCCAUGCAACGUUCCCCAACAAUAUAGGCAUCCGGUGCGGGCUCAAAUCUUGGGCCUCGCACGGUGGAGGUUAGGGUUCGACCCGUAAACGCGCUGUAAAAACGCAUAUAUGCCGGCUCGAGGGGUCUUUUUGCGAGCACGGUAAAACUUUUACAGGCCGGACGUGCGAUACAGGGUCUGUUCUGGCCACUAAAAUGGGCCGAACCCGUAUACUCGCCGGAAUUUUACGGGUUCGGCCCUUUUACGGUGUCUGCUAGAGAUGCUCUAAAGUAUAUCUAUAUACAUCCAUAUGUACUAUUCUAAUGAAAUCUUUAAAAAUAUUUAUAUUUAGGAAUGGAGGGAGUAUGUCGCAUGAUAGAUGAUUCUCAUGCAUAGAUGUGAAAUAUGUAUGUUGGGAUACUUAGAAGAGUGGGGAUCUCUCUUAGGUAUGCAAGAUUACAAAUAACGUUUCAUGUACUCCUCCAUCCGGGUGUAUUGAACCUCUGGGUAGAGUAGAGAAGCUUCCUCUCCAUCCUCCCCAAUAUCAAAGUUUGUUGAGCAACCCUCGUAGAAAAUGUGGUGGAAAUGCCCAACCGCCAUCUGAUUUGUAAUGUCCGUACCUUCACACAAGUAGAAUAGUCUCAACCGGGAUUUACUUGCCAUCUGGGUAAACUUGUGUUUCAAGUAUCCUAAUAAUUUCUAUUUAACAACAGAAAAAUAUUUACCAUCCAUGAUCAUAACAAAUCUUAGAUAGUAAAAAGGUAAACAGUUGUUGAAUAUGUAAAGCAUAAUAUAAAAAAAGUAACAACAGAAAAUAUUUACCAUCCCUGAUUACAACAGAUCUUAGAUAGUAAGAAGGCAAACAAUUGUUGAAUAUGUAAACCAUAAUAAUAAUAAAAAACUUGUGUAGAAGGGAGACAUAUUUAUCCUAAUUAUUUAAUAUGUACUGGGUUUAUAUGAGACUCCCUACAUGAGUUUGAGAUCAUUUUAUUCAUGGCACGACUAUUAUCAUCUAACUAGUGAAAUUUUGUCACGAUCAGUUUAGUUUUGCUAUUACCACCUAACUAAUUAAGAUAGGUUUCUUGUGUACAUAUAUAUCAAUAGUGAAGCUCAAUAGUGGCAGACGUGGCAAGCGACUCAAACUUGAC
rnacentral:lncRNA from 1 species